UGCCCCAUGGCUGAGUUGGUUACAGCGUCCGACUGUUAGGUCUUCCUGGAUCAGCAAUCGGAAGGUCGUGAGUUCGAGCCUCACUGGGGCAG
rnacentral:tRNA from 1 species